rnacentral:rRNA from 1 species
GACGAACGCUGGCGGCGUGCCUAAUACAUGCAAGUUGAGCGAUGAAGAUUGGUGCUUGCACCAAUUUGAAGAGCAGCGAACGGGUGAGUAACGCGUGGGGAAUCUGCCUUUGAGCGGGGGACAACAUUUGGAAACGAAUGCUAAUACCGCAUAACAACUUUAAACAUAAGUUUUAAGUUUGAAAGAUGCAAUUGCAUCACUCAAAGAUGAUCCCGCGUUGUAUUAGCUAGUUGGUGAGGUAAAGGCUCACCAAGGCGAUGAUACAUAGCCGACCUGAGAGGGUGAUCGGCCACAUUGGGACUGAGACACGGCCCAAACUCCUACGGGAGGCAGCAGUAGGGAAUCUUCGGCAAUGGACGAAAGUCUGACCGAGCAACGCCGCGGGAGUGAAGGAGGUUGUCGGAUCGUAAAACUCUGUUGGUAGAGAAGAACGUUGGUGAGAGUGGAAAGCUCAUCAAGUGACGGUAACUACCCAGAAAGGGACGGCUAACUACGUG